rnacentral:tRNA from 1 species
GGGCCUAUAGUUUAAUGGUAGAACUCUACAUUUGCAAUGUAGUAAUGGCAGUUCGAUUCUGCCUAGGUCCA